GACGAACGCUGGCGGCGUGCUUAACACAUGCAAGUCCAACGGAAAGGCCUGCUUUCCCUUGUGGAUUGCGGGUACUCGAGUGGCGAACGGGUGAGUAACACGUGAGUGAUCUGCCCCCAACUUGGGUAUAAGCCUGGGAAACUGGGUCUAAUUCCCGAUAGGACUGCAGGGUGGUGCCUGUGGUGGAAAACGAUUUUCUAGUGGUUGGGGAUGAGCUCGCGGCCUAUCAGCUUGUUGGUGGGGUAAUGGCCUACCAAGGCGGCGACGGGUAGCCGGCCUGAGAGGGUGGACGGCCACAUUGGGACUGAGAUACGGCCCAGACUCCUACGGGAGGCAGCAGUGGGGAAUAUUGCACAAUGGGCGGAAGCCUGAUGCAGCGACGCCGCGUGGGGGAUGACGGCCUUCGGGUUGUAAACUCCUUUCGACCGCGAGGAAGCCACCUGGUUGGAAGGGUGGUGACGGUAGUGGUAGAAGAAGCACCGGCUAACUACGUG
rnacentral:rRNA from 1 species